rnacentral:misc_RNA from 1 species
CGACAUCGUAUAUAGUACAACUAGGGACCAGAUUUUCAUAAAGUUGCCUAACAAAAUUAACGCUGGCCCCAGGGCGUGGAGAGACGAACUGGCGCUCGAAAAUCCUAGCGGCGAGGUUGUUGCUCGUGAACAUCAGGGCCAUUAGCUCAAGCUGAGCGCCGGAUCCGAGACAGGGAAGGGGCCGACGUCGCUUUGCUCGCCGGCAUCGCACCAAUGGUUUAAGCCUCUCUAUUGAGCAUUUCUCUCUCCUCGGUGUCUCACUCUGUAGCUCCAAUGCCGG